GACGAACGCUGGCGGCGUGCUUAACACAUGCAAGUCGAACGGAAAGGCCCUGCUUGCAGGGUACUCGAGUGGCGAACGGGUGAGUAACACGUGGGUGAUCUGCCCUGCACUUCGUGAUAAGCCUGGGAAACUGGGUCUAAUACCGGAUAGGAGCCAUCCUUAGUGUGAUGGUUGGAAAGUUUUUUCGGUGUAGGAUGAGCUCGCGGCCUAUCAGCUUGUUGGUGGGGUAAUGGCCUACCAAGGCGGCGACGGGUAGCCGGCCUGGGAGGGUGGACGGCCACAAUGGGACUGGGAUACGGCCCAGACCCCUACGGGAGGCAGCAGUGGGGAAAAUUGCACAAUGGGCGGAAGCCUGAUGCAGCGAAGCCGCGUGGGGGAGGACGGCCUUCGGGUUGUAAACUCCUUUCGCUAGGGACGAAGCUUUUUGUGACGGUACCUAGAUAAGAAGCACCGGCUAACUACGUG
rnacentral:rRNA from 1 species